GACGAACGCUGGCGGCGUGCUUAACACAUGCAAGUCGUACGGUAAGGCCCUUUCUGGGGUACACGAGUGGCGAACGGGUGAGUAACGCGUGAGUAACCUGCCCACAACUUUGGGAUAACGCUAGGAAACUGGUGCUAAUACUGGAUAUGUGCUCCUGCUGCAUGGUGGGGGUUGGAAAGCUCCGGCGGUUGUGGAUGGACUCGCGGCCUAUCAGCUUGUUGGUGGGGUAGUGGCCUACCAAGGCGGCGACGGGUAGCCGGCCUGAGAGGGUGACCGGCCACAUUGGGACUGAGAUACGGCCCAGACUCCUAAGGGAGGCAGCAGUGGGGAAUAUUGCACAAUGGGCGCAAGCCUGAUGCAGCAACGCCGCGUGCGGGAUGACGGCCUUCGGGUUGUAAACCGCUUUCAGCAGGGACGAAGCUUUUUGUGACGGUACCUGCAGAAGAAGCACCGGCUAACUACGUG
rnacentral:rRNA from 1 species